GACCCCGCACAAGCGGUGGAUCAUGUUGUUUAAUUCGAAGAUACGCGAAGAACCUUACCAGGUCUUGACAUCCCCUGCCAAGCUAUAGAGAUAUAGUGGAGGCUAUCAGGGUGACAGGUGGUGCAUGGUUGUCGUCAGCUCGUGUCGUGAGAUGUUGGGUUAAGUCCCGUAACGAGCGCAACCCCUAUUGUUAGUUGCCAUCAUUAAGUUGGGGACUCUAGCAAGACUGCCAGUGAUAAACUGGAGGAAGGUGGGGAUGACGUCAAAUCAUCAUGCCCCUUAUGACCUGGGCUACAAACGUGAUACAAUGGCUGGAACAAAGGGAAGCAAUACAGUGAUGUGGAGCGAAACCCAUAAAAACAGUCUCAGUUCGGAUUGAAGUCUGCAACUCGACUUCAUGAAGCAGGAAUCGCUAGUAAUCGUGGAUCAGAACGCCACGGUGAAUACGUUCUCGGGGUUU
rnacentral:rRNA from 1 species